GGAAUUCUCUACAUGAUCAGCGGGCGAGUUUUCAAGGCAACAGUCAGCAGCGAUAAACCACCUGCAUAUCUCAAGGCGGGCAUAUGGUUGGAGAUAGCAGCCCUCCAGGUGCUGACACAGAACGCUCCCUGUUCUUUGUUCCCACCGGUGACAGACAGAGCGGAUGGCGACUUUUUCACUGGGAAUUAGGGAGUGUGGAAAAGGGACGGAGCGCCGGUUUAAUCAUGCCGUCCAGCACCAGGAGGAACCCUUCCAAGUGAGGCGGCCCUUUUUAAUGCUGCUUAAGAGUGUGGCUGCAUUGUAGACGCCUCUUUUUUCAAGCCAAGUCAAAGAUUGAUCGUCAACGGUGUUUUUCUGCAUAUACCUCAUGCAUAUGUUCACAGGUUAGUGUGUGUAUUGAGGGAUUGUGUGAGCCCGGCUGCAUCUGCCAUGUUUAUUACCUUUUGCUUUGUGGCUGCUUGCUUUGCCGCCGUGAGAUCAGACGCGUCUGUUUGAAUUUCUGUGCAGGGACGCUGUUUUUUUUUUCUUUUGUACCAGUGACUCUUUCUUGCUUUUGCAACAUCCCCAAACUCACCCUUCCCCCUCACACACAAACACACACACACACACCUCAGCAUCCCAUUUUCUUCUCCCCCUGUGAUAUUUCCUUACAGUG
ensembl:lncRNA